GAGGCGAACCGGGGGAACUGAAACAUCUAAGUACCCCGAGGAAAAGAAAUCAACCGAGAUUCCGAAAGUAGCGGCGAGCGAAAUUGGACUAGCCCUUAAGCUUUACACGCGUUAGACGAACGGUCUGGAAAGUCCGACGAUACAGGGUGAUAGUCCCGUAGUUGACGACGUGUGUUCAGUGAAAUCGAGUAGGGCGGGACACGUGAUAUCCUGUCUGAAUAUGGGGGGACCAUCCUCCAAGGCUAAAUACUACUGACUGACCGAUAGUGAACCAGUACCGUGAGGGAAAGGCGAAAAGAACCCCUGUGAGGGGAGUGAAAUAGAACCUUAUUCAGUGGCAAGGUUAACCAUCUAGGGGAGCCGUAGGGAAACCGAGUCUUAACUGGGCGUUCAGUCUCUGGAUAUAGACCCGAAACCAGGUGAUCUAGCCAUGGGCAGGUUGAAGGUUGAGUAACA
rnacentral:rRNA from 1 species